rnacentral:misc_RNA from 1 species
AACGCACAUUGCGCCCUUUGGUAUUCCGAGGGGCAUGCCUGUUCGAGCGUCAUUUCAAACCUCAAGCUUCUGCUUGGUAUUGGGCUCUCGUCCGCGAGGACGUGCCCGAAACUCGUAGGCGGCGGCGUCCAGCUCCCAGCGUAGUCAAAUCUUUUUCUCGCUACGGAGGUCUGGUCGUCACUCGCCUGACAAGCCUUUUUUUACUCAUGGUUUGACCUCGGAUCAGGUAGGGAUACCCGCUGAACUUAA